CAAGAGUAGAUGUGCGGUUGUGUCUUAAAGGGAGGGGCUUGAUCCUCAGUUUUGUAUCAUUGAGUGUAGUGGAGGACCGACUGCAGACUGGCUCCCUCUCCUCUCCUCAUCGACUCAAGAGCUCUUCUUUGAACCGAUAAGAUCCACAGGGCACAAUCAUGGAGGAAAUGGACUUUGAGCAGCGCCGGGAGCUGAGGAGGCAGAAACGAGAGGAGAUGCGCCUGGAGGCCGAGCGGUUGGCGAGAAAUGAUGAUGACGAGGAGGAGGCUGCCCGCGAGAGGAGGCGCAGGGCACGCCAGGAGAGGAUGAAGGGCAAGGAUGGCGAAGAUACCAGCGGACAGCCAGACGGUCUGCUCGUGACCAACAGCCACAGUGUGAGCGAGACGGUGUCUGUGAGCAGCUCUUAUGGAGGAGGCGCAGACGACGAUGAGCAGGUUCUGAUGGACCGCAUGGCCAAACGAGAGGAGAGACGGCAGAAACGCAUGAAGGAGGCGCUGGACAGACAGAACGAGAUGGACCCGGCAGAGGGUAACAACAGCAGCAGCAGCAGCGUCACCAUGGAGAAAAACAACGCAGAGGAGGAGAGGCCAUCCUCCACGCGCAGGGGUCGUAACCGUGACAAUGAGGAUGAAGAGGAGAAGAUGGAGUCGUACAGCUCAAGGAGAGAGCAGAAGGAGGAAGAAGAGGAGGAGGAGGAGGCUGCUCCUGAGGUGGCAGAUGAAGGUGUGGAUGAAGAGGAGGAGCAGAAAGUGGAGCUGGUGGAGGAUAAACCAAGGAGGUCCUACAUGAGAGACCAAGAAUCACCUGAAGAACCUAAAAUGCAAAACGAGGCACCCACUGAAGAAGAUUCAGUAGUCAGUGAGAUUUCAAACCAGGUCAAGUCAACAAGUUCAGUGACUGAGGAGAAUGCAGUAGCAUCAGAGGAGGCUGAGGAGGUACCUGGGGAUGAUUAUGUAGAUUAUUCAUCAGAGAAUAAGUCUAUGUGUCUCAGAGAUGUUACUGACGAGGACAAUGAGGUCUCUGAGAUACUGCAUUCAGAGGAUAAUGAGGUGAAUGAGAGAGGAAGGGACAGGGAGGAGCAGAGGAAGCAGAACGGAGGAAUGCACGAGGAGGAGGCUCCCAAACAGCACAGGAAACCUGAGAGGACCCAGAGCCGUGGCAGUGUGCGUUCCCCCGAGGCGUCCGACGACCAGGACGACGCCGCCCGCCUGGAGGCCGAGCGCAAGCUGGAGGAGCUGAAGCGCCGCCGUGACGACGCAGAGAGCGAGGAGUUCGAGAAGAUGAGGCAGAAGCAGCAGGAGGCCGAAGCCGAGCUGGAGGACCUGAAGAGGAAGAGGGAGGAGAGGAAGAAGGUGCUGGAGGAGGAGGAGAGGCAGAAGAAGCAGGAGGACGCCGAGAGAAAAGCCAGAGAGGAGGAGGAGAAGCGGAAGAUGAAGGAGGAGAUUGAGAGGAGGAGAGCCGAGGCAGCUGAGAAGAGGCAGAAGGUGGAGGACAUGGACGAGGAGGGCCGGCCUUUCAAGUGCGUCAGCCCUCGAGGCUCCUCUCUGAAGAUUGGAGAGAGGGCAGAGUUCCUGAACAAAUCUGCACAGAAGAGCAGCACAGUGAAGGCGUCUCCUUCUCCUCUGGUGUCCAAGAUAGACAACAGGCUGGAGCAGUACACCUCUGCUGCUCAGAGAGAGAACAAGGAGUCCCGGUCCCCUCGCUCCGGAGCCGUGGAUCUCCCCAUGGUGACCGACAGCAUCCGGAGCAUCAAGAGCAUGUGGGAGAAGGGCAACGUGUUCGGCACACCUGGAAACGGGGGAAGCCCGUUCAAGGAAGCAGCUGUGAUGAAGACAGGCGUGGCGGGUCGCAUUAACGACUGGCUGAAUAAAACCCCGGAGAGCGGCAAAGCGGCAGGAGGAAGGCCAACGGACCUGAAGCCUGUGGACGUCACCAACAAGAGGAGUCUAUGGGAAAACAAAGGUGCCUCUCCAACCAAGAUCUCUGAUAGCUAGUUGACCUCCACCUUAAAUCUGGAAUAAGCCUGGAGAGGUGGGAGGCGGAGGGGAGACCAAAUCAGUCGCCAACGGUAUGGGACACUAAUGUCAUGAAGGAGCCACUAAAGCUGGAGACCACGACAAUCCAAGACUCUUCCUUUGACUUUUUCUUAAGAACCAAAAAAUGACCACCCCAGAAAACGGAGGGACAGGAGACACGCUGUCCACGCACUGUACCGAAACAGCAUCAUAUUUUUGUACGGUCGCCACGUGUAGUGCCUUUGCACAAUGAUUUUUGCUUUCUAAAAGAAACAAAAUGCUGUGAAAUUUGGACAUUUGUAAUUACUAUUACUAAUUACUCUAUACGAUCCUGCCAGGAAGAAAAAAACCUAAUUAAAUUUAGAUUUAUGUGUUGUUCUCCAUGCCGACGGUUGAUAGAGACGGAGUAGUUUCCACAUUCCAAAGAGAUGGUUGAAAUCCGUUCUCUCCCUCCCACAGUUCAUUUUCCAUCUCCUAUUUUAUUUAUAUUUAAAGCAAAAGCUUCACACAUUGCUAUUUUAUUCAACGUUCACCAGUUCAGGAUAGAAAUAUAAGCACUUGUAGAUUUUAGCUGAUCUCACUUUUAUUAUGUCUUACCAAUAGUGCAGCAAUGGUCUGAGUAAUAUAUGUUAGCACAUGUGAUGUUUUGAAUAUCAUACUGUAUCUUAUAUAACAUCUUUAUACUCGCAACAAAAGGUCUUUUUUGCUUAUUUUGUAUUCACCAACAAGGCAGUUAAUUUCGGUGGUGAUAGGAGUGUUGAAUAUUCAGAAGGCCAUUAUGACUUUUAUUAUCCUUCAUGUCAUUUUAUUUAUGUUUUAAUGUGUUUUGUCCUUUUCUAUAGCUGUGUUUGUAGCUUUUGUACCUGUUUGAUCACUUUAAAAUCUUCAAACAUUCCUCUUUAAGAAGCAGCUGCACACGGUGCCUUCGCUGUAGGUUUUACAAUGUAGGAAAUCGGCAUUCCAACCCACUUUUUUUUUAUCUACCUUAACUUUUACUAACUUCUCUAUUGCCUCUAUGCACACUCUUAUGCUCAGCGAUCAUUGAGGGCAUACGAAGUAAAAUCAGGGUGCCUAAGCAUAUAGCAAGAUACUAGUACAAUGCAAGGAUAUUUACCACUAUGUAAGUCUUCUGGCAUAUGAUUGCAAUGGACACAUUUAUGACAGCUGAGGUACAGUACAUGAUAGCCUCAAAGCAACGCCGUAUAAUAUUAAGACUUGUGAUUUCUCCUGCUUAUCUUUCACUUACAUGGUCUUAAGUAGCACAUUCCCUUUUAUAGUUUUUGCGCGGCACAAGCUUUGAUAAUAUUAACGAUUUGCCGGGGCAUUAAAUUGAUGUUACUGCUCAAAAGUGUGACAAUCACAUUCCAUGGCUCCUGAAAAGAGCAGGGGAGCUUGACCAAAACAUUUUCAAGCGUGAUUUAAUGUGACAUGUAUGUUGUUGUUUUUUUAAAUACAGCGGUUUCAUUAUGCCGUAUUGUUUUUGUUUUUUACAACCUUUGUGUCCAUUUUAUGUUUUUUAAAGUUCUUCCAUGUUUAACCAGACACUUGUUUGUGUAGCGCGAAGCCUAUGCAAAACACACUAUCUGUAGCCUCUCUAAACACUCCCAAUGUCAUACAAAUGGGCAGUUUCCAACUGGAUGAAUGUUUUAAACAUUGUACGCUUCACUCAAAAACAGCAAUAAAGACAUUGAGGUAUUCCACAUG